rnacentral:snoRNA from 1 species
UCCUUAUGAUGAAUAAAAUAAGAGUUCUGCAAUGCCGACAGUCUCCUACUAUUGUGAGACUGCAUGUUGACCUCUUCUACACUUGACCUGACU